AGUGAACGCCGGCGGCGUGCUUAACACAUGCAAGUCGAACGAGAACGGAUUAUAGCUUGCUAUAGUUGUCAGCUAAGUGGCGCACGGGUGAGUAAUGUAUAGGUAAUAUGCCUCUUACUAAGGGAUAACAAAUGGAAACGUUUGCUAAUACCUUAUACUCCUUAUUAACAGAAGUUAAUAAGGGAAAGAUUUAUUGUUAAGAGAUUAGCCUGUAUUGUAUCAGUUAGUUGGUGGGGUAAUGGCUUACCAAGACUAUGACACAUAACUGGUUUGAGAGGAUGAUCAGUCACACUGGAACUGAGACACGGGACAGACUCUUACGGGAGGCAGCAGUGGGGAAUAUUGCACAAUGGACGAAAGUCUGAUGCAGCAACGCCGCGUGGAGGAUGACACAUUUCGGUGCGUAAACUCCUUUUAUAUGAGAAGAUAAUGACGGUAUUAUAUGAAUAAGCACCGGCUAACUCCGUGCCAGCCGCCGCAGUAA
rnacentral:rRNA from 1 species